AGUGGUUUGUUAUGGGACUAUCUCAGUUUUAUGAGAACCUGCACAUAGCACAUAAAGUUGAUCAUGGGGCUCUGGUCCGAAGAUAUAAAGCCCAUAGUCUACCUCUACCCAUGGAAUACCAUCGACUUAUUCUGUGGACACAGGGAUUUCAAAGGAACAGAUGACCCAGAGAAGAAUGACAGCACUGAGUAAGAAGGAGUGCCAGAUUCCAAACUGAAUGGGGAGGUGGCGAAGGCCGCGCUGGCGAACGAAGACUGCCCCCACAUAGACCAGGCCCUCACUCCCGAUGAGGGCCUGCCCUUUACGCGCUCGGGCACCCGCGAGAGAUACGGACCCUGCUUCCUCUUAUCAACCGGGGAGUACGCGUGCCCACCUGGUGGAGGAAUGAGAAAGGAUCUUUGCAAAGAAAGCCCUGUCAUUGCUAAGUAUAUGCCGACAGAGGCUGUGAGAGUGACUUGACCAGGCGGCUUGGCCGAGGACACUGGUGGCUAUUAAGCAUCUGGGUGGACCUGCAGCCCCUCCUCACCCUCGGACAGAGUAAAUUCACGCCAUGCAGGUUUGCCGGACGAGUCCGAGUGGCCCAGGCAUUGUACUAGGACGGACGUAGCUUUUUCUACGGCCAAAUGGUAACUGACCGUAGAGGAUUUCUUUUCCUUCUUUUCAUUUUUUAAAAUUUUAUUUUAUUUGGGGAGUGGGGGGUGGAGGGGCUCCUUAGCAUGACUUGCAUGAAGUUAAACAGAAAACCCAGCAAACCAAACCCACCAACCCCCUGCAACUGUAUGAUUACCCUGAACAACAAUAACGAAAAGAAAAACAUCAAAGCCCUCUAUUUUCUUUCAAAGCUCUUGAC
rnacentral:sRNA from 1 species